rnacentral:rRNA from 1 species
AUUGAACGCUGGCGGCAUGCCUUACACAUGCAAGUCGAACGGUAACAGGUUAAGCUGACGAGUGGCGAACGGGUGAGUAAUAUAUCGGAACGUGCCCAGUCGUGGGGGAUAACGUAGCGAAAGCUACGCUAAUACCGCAUACGAUCUACGGAUGAAAGCGGGGGAUCGCAAGACCUCGCGCGAUUGGAGCGGCCGAUAUCAGAUUAGGUUGUUGGUGAGGUAAAAGCUCACCAAGCCUGCGAUCUGUAGCUGGUCUGAGAGGACGACCAGCCACACUGGAACUGAGACACGGUCCAGACUCCUACGGGAGGCAGCAGUGGGGAAUUUUGGACAAUGGACGCAAGUCUGAUCCGGCAAUGCCGCGUGCAGGACGAAGGCCUUCGGGUUGUAAACUGCUUUUGUACGGAACGAAACGGUGAGCUCUAAUACAGUUUGCUAAUGACGGUACCGUAAGAAUAAGCGCCGGCUAACUACGUGCCAGCCGCCGCGGUAA